rnacentral:misc_RNA from 1 species
GAUGAAGAACGUAGCGAAACGCGAUACGUAAUGUGAAUUGCAGAAUUCAGUGAAUCAUCGAAUCUUUGAACGCACAUUGCGCCCGCCAGUAUUCUGGCGGGCAUGCCUGUUCGAGCGUCAUUUCAACCAUCAAGCCCCAGGCUUGUGUUGGGGACCUGCGGCUGCCGCAGGCCCUGAAAACCAGUGGCGGGCUCGCUAGUCACACCGAGCGUAGUAGCAUACACAUCGCUCAGGGCGUGCUGCGGGUUCCGGCCGUUAAACCCCUUUUUUACCCAAGGUUGACCUCGGAUCAGGUAGGAAGACCCGCUGAACUUAAGCAUAUCAAUAAGCGGAGGA